GCACAUCCUCCCCCUGCCCCUGAGUGGAAGGCAGAGAUGAGGGAGUGCCUUGGAGGGCACCAAUCACAAAGGUGCCCUCACUGCCACUCGGGCCUGAAGGAGAAAUUCAAUCACUCUCCAUUAAGGUCUUCCUAGAUGGAAGAACCAAGACGCAGGAGACAGCAAGUCGCUGGAGGGAGCCAGACUUCUGGACAAGAUGCUGAGUGACCUGGAGAGACGUAGUGAGAUGAAACAAAAGGCUCUGCUGAAGACUGAGUUUCCUGGAGGAAGCAGUGGCUCAUUGCCAGCCUCUGCUGCAGGAAGGGAGGCGAUGCCAGGCACAGGCCCAGGAGGUGAGGGUGCUGAAAUAGGUUCUCCAGCAGCUGGGAUGAAAGUUGGUUUGGAACCCUUGGGAGCCUCUGCAGGUAAGUUCUCAACUUCCCCUCAGAGAAUAAUGAUUGACAAACUGUCAGGAACCAGGUGACAGGAGCUUCUGUGGCUGUUGAGUUACGGAUGUGUCUGCAGGGAGGACUUUUCAAGCUCCAGGGCUGGUUGCUGCACACAAGCCCAGCUCCCAUCGCAGGGGUCCUCUGAGAGGGAGGAAAAAUACUACCAAACAGAGUAAGUCCCUGGAGGAAUCCAAACAAGCAGACCAAAUCUUGACUGAACUGGAGAGACAACAGGACGUGGACCAAAAACCUUUGCGGAAGGCAGCACUUCCUGGAGGAAGCGAUGGCUCAGUGCCAGCCACCGAUGCACAAAGGGAGGAGAUGCCAGACAGUGCCACAGAAGACGUUAUCAAUGAAACAGGAAUAUAUGCCCCGGAUCCAGUGCGCCUCCCAAGAAUUGUCUGCCCCCAGGAUGUGCGUAGGACCUGCAUGAUAGUCACGGUGGUGACAGUGAUCACUGUGCCACUUGUGCUGAUAGGCUGCUAUCUUGGCAUUCGCAAGCUGCACGAGCUCAGACGAUGCCAAUGAAAACCUGGAUCAUUCCAUUAAAAAAGCUGGAAAGCAGAUCCUGGAGAAGAGGGCAUAAAUCUGCUCCCACCCUCUGGACAGGCCCUUCUGAUUCCUCCCUGAGGAGCAGGCAGUCAUGAAUGUCAGUCAGGGAGGAAUUUGCUGCAGUUCCAGAAUGUGGCAUCUUAAAAGCAUCUGCUAUUUAAUG